UACGUAGGGGGCGAGCGUUGUCCGGAAUCAUUGGGCGUAAAGCGCGUGUAGGCGGCCCGGUAAGUCCGCUGUGAAAGUCCAGGGCUCAACCCUGGGAUGCCGGUGGAUACUGUCGGGCUCGAGUCCGGAAGAGGCGAGUGGAAUUCCUGGUGUAGCGGUGAAAUGCGCAGAUAUCAGGAGGAACACCAGAGGCGAAAGCGGCGCUCUGGGCUGCACCUGACGCUGAGGUGCGAAAGCGUGGGGAGCAAACAGG
rnacentral:rRNA from 1 species